GAGUGGUGAUUGACGUGCACGGGUACAUUGGAUCCCUGCUUGGGCAGCGACAACGUACCUUGCUCGCCUCUUCAGUUGUUGGCAUAGGCGCGCUGAGCCUUUGUCGGAUGAUGAUUUCCUGUGCUAUAUACCCGUUAAAAGGGCAUUGAAUUUGCUCAAUUGCAUAUGUUCGCUUCUUGUUGCGUCCCCUCGGAUUUUGGCACGCAGUGAACGUUGAGGCAUUGAUCGUGUUCCACUUUCCUUGCGUGCACGUGCUUGGGUUGUUGGGCCACGGUUCUUGCCAGAUCUCUCGGUUGCGGAACACCUCGUGGGCAUGAGGCACUAGUCCCUCUAUUCGGCCCUUAUCGAGCGUUUAACGCUACGUGCGAACGACGGUUGUGGCCGUCUUGACUAGGUCUCUAUGGCUUGGCUCAUGCGGUCUCAACGUCGAUGAGGAAUGCUACCUGGUUGAUCCUGCCAGUAGUCAUAUGCUUGUCUCAAAGAUUAA
rnacentral:misc_RNA from 1 species